rnacentral:rRNA from 1 species
UGGGGAAUUUUGGACAAUGGGCGAAAGCCUGAUCCAGCAAUGCCGCGUGUGUGAAGAAGGCCUUCGGGUUGUAAAGCACUUUUGUCCGGAAAGAAAUCCUUGGCUCUAAUACAGUCGGGGGAUGACGGUACCGGAAGAAUAAGCACCGGCUAACUACGUGCCAGCAGCCGCGGUAAUACGUAGGGUGCAAGCGUUAAUCGGAAUUACUGGGCGUAAAGCGUGCGCAGGCGGUUUGCUAAGACCGAUGUGAAAUCCCCGGGCUCAACCUGGGAACUGCAUUGGUGACUGGCAGGCUAGAGUAUGGCAGAGGGGGGUAAAUUCCACGUGUAGCAGUGAAAUGCGUAGAGAUGUGGAGGAAUACCGAUGGCGAAGGCAGCCCCCUGGGCCAAUACUGACGCUCAUGCACGAAAGCGUGGGGAGCAAACAGGAUUAGAUACCCUGGUAGUCCACGCCCUAAACGAUGUCAACUAGUUGUUGGGGAUUCAUUUCCUUAGUAACGUAGCUAACGCGUGAAGUUGACCGCCUGGGGAGUACGGUCGCAAGAUUAAAACUCAAAUGAAUUGACA